CAAAAGCAAGGUAUUGAGUUCAUUUCAUUCUCUGGUUUCUUUGGAUCUGGCCAGACGUGGCAUUUAUCCACAGAUGUCUGUUCCAAAAAAAUGUCAAUCUUCUCGACUUAUUGUAAAUGUUGGCUUGAGGUAUAAAAAAAAAAUAUAUAUUUUUCUAAAAUGGUCAAGCAUCAAGACUUAAAGUAGUUCACACAAUUAAAUCAACUAAUCAAUCAAAUAACAGGCCCACUGUGUGUUAGGUGUUAGGUCUCCUAAAGGCAGUGAUUAGGGCACAUGUGAGCAGGCACUUACGGGGCACCUUUUGGGGUCUUCUGGUUAAAUUACCAGGUUGACAAGAUUAGCCAAUACUGCCGUCAUAUUUAUGUCCCUACGUGCUUUCAGGUUACUGCCAUUGUCAGACUCUUAGUGGAUGAUGUUGAGCUUGCAGUUCCUCUGUACAGUAAAUCCCUGUAUUCCAUGUUUACUGAUGCUCACGACAGUGAAGCUGUGGCAGUCAUUGGUGGAUGAACAUAACAACCCUUUACAGUAAGUACAGUAGUUAACAUUCCUGUCACACAGUGGACUCUGUGUCUUGGGUUCUCACGCCUAAAACCACACAACAUAAACAAUAAGCAGUUUGAGCCAUUUGUAUCAACUGCAUGUUUGAUAUUUAAAAUGUCCCUCCCCUUUUGUCUGUCCACACAUCAUCUGGGCUAUUGGUACAACAGUUUGCACACAUGUCAUAUAAGUCAACAGUUAGGUACCCUUUAGCUCUUUUUUCCUAAUUAAUUUAAACACCACAGAGAAAAAUAUAACCGUGGAGAUUCGCUUUUAGGCUUUCGUUCUUUAGUUAGUUAGUUGCUUCCUUAAGCAAAGGUUUGUAACCCCCAGGAAAAGGCUAUAGGAACAAUUUAUAUAUUUGUAUUAUUUACUGUAUUUUAUUUUUUAUCAGUAAUAUUGUUUCCCUCCACAUAUUACUAUUCCUUCUUAAGGAAAUGCUUUUUGUUCUUCUUUAUGUUUGAAAAUAUAAGGGCUUUCCUUAAAGAAAAAAAAGUUGUUGCUUCCACACGGUAAAUAAAUCAUCGCCAUCAGGAGUUCUUUUCAGUUUGAACCCCAAGCAAAAAAAACAGUCCUUUUCUUGAAGUUGUCUUUUAAACAUUCAUCACUUCAACCCCUGCAACUUUACUUGGAUGUUCUGUGGGUGGCAGUUCCAGAUGUUGGGUAAAUAUUCAGCAGCUCACCUUUCUGUUCAGGAAUGUAGAGGAACAAACAGUAGACAGAGCCAUGUCCAAACAGAGCAGCAGCAACAUGGCAGCUUUUAUUUGGAAAUUAUAAAAUUGAUGUAGGUAAAAAGAAAAUAUAUUUGUAAUACACUUAUAGAUGCAGCAAAACAAUAUAAAAGUAUUUUUAAAAAUGUGGUGAUGACAUAAUUUAAAUAAUUUUGUCAAGAUUGUACAUAAUGAUUUGGCAAAAGAAAUGUACACCAUAGCUUUGUAGCCAUGACAAAUAUUUUAUUUUUAUUUUUUAUUCUCCAUGGUAAAAAAAAUAACAUGUUCACAAGAUUCACCAGGACUGUGUAUAAUAAAGAGGGCCAAUAAAUACAAGUUAUCACAGGCAUGUUGUGAGAUACAGAUGAUUAAAGAUGUUAAAGAAUAUUACCUUUGUCUGUUUUGUAAUUAUAUGUGGUCUUAUUAGGUGUAAUAUCCCUGAGGCCAGGCAAGCCCAGAUCUUAGCAGGGUUAAAUCUAGUAUAAAGUUCACAAGAGCUUUAAAGGCUGUUGACCUGAAACUGGAGCUCCCUGCUUAAUCUUUCACAACAUACUGCAUUGUCUUGGCUUACCCAGACUUUGGUAUAAUUAAAUUAAAACAGAACAGAGGUACAGUACAUAGUGCGGGCAAUAAUAUGAUUCCUGACUUUUGCAGCUCCUUCGUGCUGUAUCUCUUUGCCUAUAGAAGUGUGCACCAAACAUCCUGUGUCUGUUGAUUUUUCUGAGUAAGGAUGUCAGUCUUCCUUCCUCUACAAACUGAGCUGUUUACAGCUAAACAACUGACAGAGCCUGGACAUGGCUACAGUUUACCAGAGCAGUAUCAUGGACACUUUUUAAGCCACAUGGUACAAAUGUGAACCUGACUAAACACUUGUAACCUCAUUUCAAUAAAAUACAAUUUGAUAAAUAGGUGUAAACACUGACAGCCUUUUUUUGUGUGUGUUCAAUUUUGACUCUAUUCUUUUCAAGUCACCUAGAAGUAUAUUUCGCAAUUUCCCAGCACCCUGUAAUUACUGUUAUUUUACUCAUUUCAAGGAUUGCUAACACUUUUCCUGUCACAUCUUUCUAACAUAUAUUCAGACUUGUCUUAACAAGAAAAAUGCAUUACUGGUUCAUUAACAUACAUUUAUGAUGGCUAUUCCAUUUAUUGCCUUGUUGUUUUCACUUACAGCCAACUGGAGCAGUAUGAAGUUAAAAUGGAAUGCAGCAAUGCAAAUGCAUUCAUUUCAUCCCUGUAUCCAUACAAAAAACAUUGGAAUGUUUGAGGCUUCUUUUUCAUGUAUGUUUUUGCAAACACCUGGCAAAAUGCCAACAUUCUUCUAUCGUAGCUGUUUUUCCAAUCAGCUGCAGUUACACUGAGGUUAUGCCAAUCUGAGGUCACAAAUCAGUGGUUGUUGGGGUUAGCACAGAUGUGUCAUAAAAAGUCAGAGUACUGUCUGACAAGGUAUUACGCUUUAGAUAUGAUCAGCUUUAAAAAGAAGAGAAAAGAAGAAAAAAACUUGGAGGGAUAGUUAAUUGCUGUGUUUGAUUAAAGAGAUGCCCUUGAACAAAACAAUCUGCUUCUUCACUUUCAUAAUUUCAUAAUUUCAGGCACUUUCAUAAUUCAUUUUAAUUAAGUUCAAGUAAAAAAUAAUGGUAGUGAGUCUUUUUUAAUUUA